CUACGAGGGGCAGCAGUGAGGAAUAUUGCACAAUGGGGGAAACCCUGAUGCAGCAACGCCGCGUGGAGGAUGACGCAUUUCGGUGUGUAAACUCCUUUUAUCAGAGAAGAAAAUGACGGUAUCUGAUGAAUAAGCUCCGGCUAACUCCGUGCCAGCAGCCGCGGUAAUACGGAGGGAGCAAGCGUUAUUCGGAAUCACUGGGCGUAAAGGACGCGUAGGCGGGUUUUUAAGUCAGGUGUGAAAUCCUAUGGCUCAACUAUAGAACUGCACUUGAAACUGGGGACCUAGAGUAUGGAAGGGGCAGGUGGAAUUAGUGGUGUAGGGGUAAAAUCCGUAGAUAUCACUAGGAAUACCGAAAGCGAAGGCGACCUGCUGGGACAUUACUGACGCUGAGGCGUGAAAGCGUGGGGAGCAAACAGGAUUAGAUACCCCAGUAGUC
rnacentral:rRNA from 1 species